CAGUCACAUCACAUUGAAACACCAGUUCUCAUAUGAUUACUGAAGUUAAGCAAUGUCAAACCUGGUCAGUACCUAGUUGGGUGACCACUUGGGAAUACUAGGUGCUGUAA